rnacentral:rRNA from 1 species
UACGAAGGGGGCUAGCGUUGCUCGGAAUCACUGGGCGUAAAGCGCACGUAGGCGGAUUGCUAAGUCAGGGGUGAAAUCCUGCGGCUUAACCGCAGGGCUGCCUUCUAAACUGUCGGGCUCGAGCACGGUAGAGGCAGAUGGAAUUCCCGGUGUAGCGGUGGAAUGCGUAGAGAUCGGGAAGAACAUCAGUGGCGAAGGCGGUCUGCUGGGCCGUUGCUGACGCUGAGGCGCGACAGCGUGGGGAGCAAACAGG